rnacentral:lncRNA from 1 species
AACCAACUAAUCACAAGGUGCGUUUAAUGAAACAAAGAAGAAAUCCUAAAGAAAGAAGGAAGCGCGCAAAAACUAGAAAGAAGACACUGACAAGUUGGAAAGUAACACAUGAACUAGGUUUUGUGCUACUUGAAAAAUAUCACCUAGAGUAUAGACACAAGCAAACAAUACUCCAGCAAUGUAAAGGAAGCAAAAGCAAGCUUAAACCAAAA